GGGUUUCCGCGCUUUAGCGGACCGAGACCGUCGGAGCACGUAAUGCCAAUAAUAUCCAACGUUAACCCUUAAACGUGGCGCAUGAAAUUUGUAAUCCAGCUAAACCAUCCGCGACGGUAUCAACUACCUGUUAAGUCCAGGAGAUGCGUUAUUUAGAUCCAAAAGUGGAACGCUAUUGGUCGAGGCUUCUGGGAAUUUCAAGCCCGUGACGUCAUAGGGAAAAACCAACGAACACGUCCAUAGCCAAAAGUAAGGAUAAUGACAGCGACUGGGAACGUGUGCGCCAUUUACAGCCGUGAGGUAGCAGCGGCCGUAGCUAUUGAAACGGCUGGCCCGUUUCAACACGAGGGCUCAGCGAGAGCCCAGUCAGCCAGUCAGCCAGUCGACUAGCGAGCCAGCCAGUCACCCAACGAGUCGGCUGGGUCAUUAUGACUGGCAGGCUAACGCCAACGGGCUAUGCAUCAUUAAUGGUCCUCGUGCCACUGCCGGUCCCAGCUCCCACGAUACUCGGGCUUGGACUACUCGACUCUCCAGGCUUGGCGCAUUUUUAUAAUUUUAUACCCAGUGUCUGCGAAUUUUACAUCGGAUUCAUUUCUACGUAAUCGCUAGCCUUGGGGUACCAAACUUGUGCGAUCACCCUUCAAAUUCAAUUUAGCACGCGUCUCCUGUACGUGGCCGAAGGGAUUCGGACAGGAGAAUUCAGCGGGCUGGAAUACUUGCAAGGAUGCAUUCGUCGACGAUAUCCGUUAGCUGUCCGCACGAUUGCUGACCGUAUCUCCUUGGCUACGUAUAUGAUGUACGUACAGGUACAGAAUGCCGUGGGUAAGCAGAGGUCGAGGGUUGGAGUAUGUUUACCACGGCAAGGACGCAGUGACGCUAAAUUUUUUUAAACGUCGGUCGAAGUCAGGAAUAUGGCAGCGAGUGAUACGAGAAUGCGUCAAGGGUAGGUUAAACGGGGCAAGGGAUGCUGUGGACGGAAAUGGAGCAGCUCGGGUCCAGCAAGACGAUGUUCACUGCUGGCUUCAUCCCCUAACCCAGACUCCAAGCCCUAAACCUACAGCCAACCCCAACCUCCGGUGAAGUAGAACGAGCCAGCCAGCCGUACAGCUAGCCAGGGAGGCAGCUGGGAGCGUGAGCGACGAGGACGACGAAGGCGUCGAGGGCGUCGAGGGCGUCGAAUAUAUUACGACGAUCGAGCGAAGCGUUCAGUUCUUCUCGACAAAACUUGCGGCUUGAGAGUUCGAUCGAUUUCCUGCAAGAGUGAUCCUACAGGAAUCCAGCAACGAUUCUACAUCCCCCGGCCCUCUCCUGUUUUCAACCCCAUAUUACUUCUUCUCUUCGUCUUAUCUCACGAGCAUGUUGCUGGUAAAUUUCGUUCAAACACUUUUUCCCAGGACAUCCGUAUAGACACCCCCUCAAAAAGUUACAACCCUGGACCAGGGAAGUUGUGACUUUUGGAAAAUUGCCCAACCGCCCAAUAAAACUAUAAGAGACUAAAUUGUCGGUAAAACAGAAAAAAUCUACAGGGAAAAUAUUACGGGUAAUUUUACCCUCCCAUUAUAACCAAUAGCAAAACGGCUGUCAAUUAAGCAUUGCUAAAAUGUAAAAAUUCAAAGAGAGGAAUAAUAAUGAAUUUCUCACGAACACCCGUUGUAUAAAGCGUGCGUGCGUUUAAAGGGCAGACACCCUUAAAGGUAACCCAUUCUUUCCCUUCUUACUUUCCUGAAACGCGAUACGGCUAAUCU